UCUGUAAAUGCCAUGUCUGUAGGUCUCUGUGUUUCACUCUCUCUUUGUGUAUUAACCUCUCUUUUGUUUGAGCACCUCCAUAGCACUUUGUCAUCACCUAUGCCUUGUAACUGGAGAUUCCUGCAAAACGUUUGCCUACAGUUACCGUGUAGGUCACUACAAGGUUGGGUGACCAGGGCCAUCUGGGAAUUCCUCCUUGGGGAAGGCUACCUCUGUGUCCUGCAUAACUUCAUUAGGAUGGACACGAGGACCAGGAGGGGUUCUGCAGCUCACCGCCGUGUGCCAGAUGAGAAGUCUGCUGCUCUGAAGGAUAUUUCAAGGAUGAGGUCCAACAACUCAGAAAGAGAGCCAUUCUGUGUGCGGGAGAUCUUCACCUCCUACUUCUUCAAAGAGGGUGCUGUUCCCUGGCAACACCAUAGACUAUACUAUGCACAACCAAAGGCUCUUUAUAAGCCAUCCACAUUGCAAUAAGAGUAUUCUUCCAUUUACUUAGCUAUGUCAACUGCAGUUACUCAAUUACCAGUUUCUCUCCCAUUGAUUUCUACUUCUCAGGUGAGGGUGCUGUUUAGUUAUGGGUGUGAUGUUGGUACCAAAACAAAACAGGCUUUUUUAAGUACCCAUAUUGGAAAAAUAAACAAUUAGUCACCCUAUAACCCACACCUACACACUCAUGUACCAAUCUGGUUGAUUGUGUUGUGCAGUAAGCAGGCUCAGGUGUAUAACUGUGGCUCCUUCCACCUUCAAAGAAUAGGCAAGAGGGCCAACCAUGGAGAAUAGUAAGACACUUCAGUAUCUCUAUAACUACGUUAUUAUUGUUUGUCCUUGUGUCUGCAUGUUUUUCAGAACAAAGUACUCUGCAGCCACUUAGUGUGGACACCAGCUGUCGGUGAACCCCUCCAGCAUCUGAACUGGCUACAUAGAGGGCACAGCAUGGUGAGAGGUCGGGUCAACAGGAAGUAUUAUUAAAGAUGCUUUCCAUUGAAAUACAGAUUUAGUGAUCCAAGGUAUGUUUUGAUCUGAGAGGAUGCCAACCUCCAGUCCCAUCAUCGCCACCUCACCCACUCUUAAGAUAACCUUCGGGCUGACUGGAGCCCAAGCCUCUUUCUUCACGUUUUUAUAAUGCACACCAAAUGUGCAUAUAAGUACAGAUUGAAUUUGUGUUUAUAAUAAAGUAUUACAAUUAUAUUUAUAAUGUAUUUAUAACCCUUGGAUAAUUAACUUCUUUCAAUAAAGAGUUUCACAUUCUCUACUGGUUGAAAUGAAGCCU